GUGAGAUUUUAGUGCGUUUGUGUCUGUGUCUCUGUAUAUUAAUGUGUAUCUAUAUCAGUGUAUGUGUGUACAUCUGAAUAUGAAUGUGUUUAUAUAUGAAGACUAGUAUGUGCAUGUCAUUUUUUUUCUUUCUAAUUUUUCAUUUAUAGUUUUUGAGUAUUUUAGGUAAGACAAUGAAAGUGUGAGCAUGCAAUUUUACUAAUAAAAG